rnacentral:rRNA from 1 species
CAGUCGCCGCGGUAAUACGAAGGGUGCAAGCGUUACUCGGAAUUACUGGGCGUAAAGCGUGCGUAGGCGGCUUCUUAAGUCGGAUGUGAAAUCCCUGAGCUUAACUUAGGAAUUGCAUUCGAUACUGGGAAGCUAGAGUAUGGGAGAGGAUGGUAGAAUUCCAGGUGUAGCGGUGAAAUGCGUAGAGAUCUGGAGGAAUACCGAUGGCGAAGGCAGCCAUCUGGCCUAAUACUGACGCUGAGGUACGAAAGCAUGGGGAGCAAACAGGAUUAGAUACCCGCGUAGUCCCUGUCUCUUAUAA